AAUAUCAAACGAGCGCAAUCUUCCACGUAACGUAAAACGCUCAUCUUUUUAAAAAAUCUUUCUCUUGACUAAAAAAUAUUU